GGUACCUCCUGUGGGUCUGUCCUCAUCCCCCUGUGGGUCUGUCCUCAUCCCCCCAGGUCUACAGUCUGGUACCUCCUGUGGGUCUGUCCUCAUCCCCCCAGGUCUACAGUCUGGUACCUCCUGUGGGUCUGUCCUCAUCCCCCCAGGUCUACAGUCUGGUACCUCCUGUGGGUCUGUCCUCAUCCCCCCAGGUCUACAGUCUGGUACCUCCUGUGGGUCUGUCCUCAUCCCCCCAGGUCUACAGUCUGGUACCUCCUGUGGGUCUGUCCUCAUCCCCCCAGGUCUACAGUCUGGUACCUCCUGUGGGUCUGUCCUCAUCCCCCCUGGUCUACAGUCUGGUACCUCCUGUGGGUCUGUCCUCAUCCCCCCAGGUCUACAGUCUGGUACCUCCUGUGGGUCUGUCCUCAUCCCCCCAGGUCUACAGUCUGGUACCUCCUGUGGGUCUGUCCUCA